UACGAAGGGGGCUAGCGUUGCUCGGAAUUACUGGGCGUAAAGCGCACGUAGGCGGAUCUUUAAGUCAGGGGUGAAAUCCUGGAGCUCAACUCCAGAACUGCCUUUGAUACUGAGGGCCUUGAGUUCGGGAGAGGUGAGUGGAACUGCGAGUGUAGAGGUGAAAUUCGUAGAUAUUCGCAAGAACACCAGUGGCGAAGGCGGCUCACUGGCCCGAUACUGACGCUGAGGUGCGAAAGCGUGGGGAGCAAACAGG
rnacentral:rRNA from 1 species